GUGAGGCGAGCUCUGCCCUCUUUCUCCCUCCCUCCUCCCUCUGCUGUGCUGUUCAAGGGGGCUAGUCAUUCUUCCCACCUCUUUGCUGGGCUGACUGCUGCUCGUUCUUGUGUCUCAGCUUCCACACUCCCUCUUCAGGGCCUCCCUGUCUACCCUCACUCCAGAGUGGCCGUUGCCACGGCCCACAGUUCCCCACCUACCAGUCUUCCCACACAGGUUGAGAGAGGAGGGGAUCCAAUUGCCUGUGAGGAGGACACGGCUCCUGGGUGGACCCUGCAGAUUGUGAAGUUCAAGUCACAGCUCCUGGGAAGGUCUCUGUGUGUAAAGAUCGUGGGGGUGAGACAGAUUCAGGGACCACACUCUGCUCUGCUCUGUACCUCUGAGUGUCGAUCCAGCUGCCUUGUGACCAGGACACUUAGAAGAAGCAUGGACCCUGCAAGAGGAUGGGCUCAAGGACAGCUUGCCUGACUGCAGCCAUAAGGAUGAAGCCUCUUCAGGUAGAGAAGGACUCCAGGUGGGGCCUGUGCAGAGGGUUCUUACGGGCGCAGUAGGAUUGGGGCUAUAAAAUCAGUAAAUGGAAAAGGAGCCAGGUGCAGAAGUCUGAUUUAUUCCUUUUUUUUUUCUUUUUCUUUUUGGAGACAGGGUCUUACUCUGUCACCCAGGCUAGAGUGCAGUCAGUGUGCCACUGUGGCUCAACCUCCGUCUCCUGGGCUCAAUCAAUCGUUCCACCUCAGCCUCCAGAAAGUAGCUGAGAAUACAGGUCAUUUGGCCAAUUUAAUGCCGACAGAAGAGGCCACCAUCUGAAUGUAAUUUAUCUCCUCUUUCAUCUCCUUUCAUUCCCCUCCUCCUUUUUUUUUUUUUUUUGGGACAGAGUCUCACUCUGUUGCCCAGGCUGGAGUGCAGUGGCGUGAUCUUGGCUCACUGCAAGCUCUGCCUCCCAGGUUCACGCCAUUCUCCUGCCUCAGCCUCCUGAGUAGCUGGGACUACAGGCACCCGCCACCACGCCCAGCUAAUUUUUUGUGUUUUUAGUAGAGACGAGGUUUAGCGUGUCUAUGUGACACCCCAGGAUUUUAGCAGAUACACAAGUGAAAAACCAUGUUGCUAAAAAGUAUUUCCCAUCUUCCAAUUUUCUUAUCAUCAUCUUGGAAAUAAAAUCUGUACGUACUUGGGAAUAAAAUUUAUUGAAUUAUCAAAAAUAUGUAUGCUAAUGUAUGUGAGUCAUUAGCUAUAUCCACAUUGACAUAAAAUUUGUGAAGACUCUUCAAAAUCUCUUAAAGAUUUAUUUGGCUGGGCGCGGUGGCUCACGCCUGUAAUCCCAGCAGUUUGGGAGGCUGAGGCAGGCGGAUCAUGAGGUCAGGAGAUGGAGACCAUCCUGGCUAACACGGUGAAACCCCGUCUCUACUAAAAAUACAAAAAACUAGCUGGGCGUGGUGGCGCGCGCCUGUAGUCCCAGCUACUCGGGAGGCUGAGGCAGGAGAAUGGCGUGAACCCGGGAGGCGGAGCUCGGAGUGAGCCGAGAUCACGCCACUGCACUCCAGCCUGGGUGACAGAGCGAGGACUCUGUCUCAAAAAAAGGAAAAAUAAAAACACGAGAACGUACUGCAGGAGAAAACAGGCCUGGCCUGAGACGGCUGUGCCGGCUUUCUGAGGCCGUGAAUGGCAAGACCUCGAGACUGUCAAGAGGAGCAAGAGGAGUCGGGAUUUAGCGUCAGUGAUGAGGUGCGCCACUCACUGUGUGACUUCAGAGUGUUUCUGGGGAAAGAAAAUGAAGUCCUGUGAAGUAUGCGGAGCACCCUCAGCAGCAGCCGUGGAUCUGAACAGCCUCCCAGACACAGACGCCAUGGGUGUGAAGUGUGUCAGGAACAAGCGAAGUCACCCACAAUGGAGAGGAACACCCUAGUGUGCUAGAACUUUUGAACCACUUUUCCUCCUGUCUUGGGUCAGGCCUCAUAGCUAACCCUUUGGUGCGCGGUACUCUCUCUGGCUAUUGGAGAGAUGUGAGAAGCUUAAGAAAAGCAAAUGAGAAGACGUGGAGCAGGCAGAUGGCCGGUCCCCAUGGAAGAGUCCCCAUUGUGAGGCCUCCCUGGGGAUCUGGCGGUGGCCACAACACACUGGCCGGUGAGAUUGGUUGUGAUUGUCAUUGUUGUGGAAAAUGAUUAUCAUCUGUCCUCAAUGGUGCCAAUGCUGACUCACCUGGAGGUGGAAUGAUGGCCAUGGUGACACUGAGGAGGGAGCGUGGCAGAGGGAAUGAUGGCCGUGGUGACACUGAGGAGGGAGCGUGGCAGAGGGAAUGAUGGCCGUGGUGACACUGAGGAGGGAGCGUGGCAGAGGGAACGAUGGCCAUGGCUGACAUUGAGGAAGGAGCUGGCAGAGGGAAUGAUGGCCGUGGUGACACUGAAGAGGGAGCGUGGCAGAGGGAAUGAUGGCCAUGGUGAAACUGAGGAGGGAGCGUGGCAGAGGGAAUGAUGGCCGUGGUGAUAUUGAGGAGGGAGCGUGGCAGAGGGAACGAUGGCCAUGGUGACACUGAGGAGGGAGCGUGGCAGAGGGAACGAUGGCCAUGGUGACACUGAGGAGGGAGCGUGGCAGAGGGAACGAUGGCCAUGGUGACACUGAGGAGGGAGCGUGGCAGAGGGAACGAUGGCCAUGGUGACACUGAGGAGGGAGCGUGGCAGAGGGAACGAUGGCCAUGGCUGACAUUGAGGAGGGAGCUGGCAGAGGGAACGAUGGCCAUGGCUGAC
rnacentral:lncRNA from 10 species